rnacentral:lncRNA from 1 species
AAAACUUCUGUGGCAGAAGUCCCCUUGGAGUUCACAUCGGAUAAUGAGAGGUGGCGAUAUGCCAACUGCUGGCAUUCUACAUUGCAGCCAUGUAUUUCAUGCUGAAUGCUUGGAGCAAGUAACCCCUAAAAUCCAGAUUCAUGAUCCUCCUUGCCCCUUGUGCUUGAAAACAAUUGGAGCAAUGGAAGAAUCCUCAUCUGUAUCCGAACCAUUGCAGAUGGCCUUAAGAUCUAUCCGAAGAGGCAGAGGGGUUGCCAUAUCUGAGCCGCUGGGAAAUCAGCGCAAUUGUAACAGUGAAAACCCACAUCAGAUUGACACAGUAAAGAGAAGCUGGGCAGGGGUAGUACCUCGCUGGAGCAAUGGUGGUUCUUCCUUAAGGAAUCGUCUUAAAAGGCAUUUCAACUUUAAUGGAAAAGCGAGCAAAGAUAUCUUCGGUGCAAAGGUGUUGCAGAGGAUUGGAUCAUCGUCUUCUAGCAGAGAACGAGUUCGAG